rnacentral:rRNA from 1 species
AGAGUUUGAUCAUGGCUCAGAUUGAACGCUGGCGGAAUGCUUUACACAUGCAAGUCGAACGGCAGCACGGGGGCAACCCUGGUGGCGAGUGGCGAACGGGUGAGUAAUACAUCGGAACGUGCCCAGUCGUGGGGGGAUAACGUAGCGAAAGCUACGCUAAUACCGCAUACGAACUCUGGUUGAAAGCGGGGGAUCGCAAGACCUCGCGCGAUUGGAGCGGCCGAUGGCAGAUUAGGUAGUUGGUGGGGUAAAGGCUCACCAAGCCGACGAUCUGUAGCUGGUCUGAGAGGACGACCAGCCACACUGGGACUGAGACACGGCCCAGACUCCUACGGGAGGCAGCAGUGGGGAAUUUUGGACAAUGGGCGCAAGCCUGAUCCAGCCAUUCCGCGUGCAGGAUGAAGGCCCUCGGGUUGUAAACUGCUUUUGUACGGAACGAAAAGGCUCUCUCUAAUACAGGGGGCUGAUGACGGUACCGUAAGAAUAAGCACCGGCUAACUACGUGCCAGCAGCCGCGGUAAUACGUAGGGUGCAAGCGUUAAUCGGAAUUACUGGGCGUAAAGCGUGCGCAGGCGGUUAUGUAAGACAGGUGUGAAAUCCCCGGGCUUAACCUGGGGAACUGCAUUUGUGACUGCAUAGCUAGAGUACGGUAGAGGGGGAUGGAAUUCCGCGUGUAGCAGUGAAAUGCGUAGAUAUGCGGAGGAACACCGAUGGCGAAGGCAAUCCCCUGGACCUGUACUGACGCUCAUGCACGAAAGCGUGGGGAGCAAACAGGAUUAGAUACCCUAGUAGUCC